UAUAAUCUGUUUAUCUUAUUACUUCAUAAAAAAAAGCACUUCCCAAAAAUGGAAAGUGCAAGUAGUGAGCCAUAGAGGAUUCGAACCUCUGACCCUCUGAUUAAAAGUCAGAUGCUCUACCAACUGAGCUAAUGGCUCUAAUGGCUGGGCUAGCUGGAUUCGAACCAACGAGUGACGGAGUCAAAGUCCGUUGCCUUACCGCUUGGCUAUAGCCCAAUAUAUAGAUGGUGGAGGGGGGCAGAUUCGAACUGCCGAACCCGAAGGAGCGGAUUUACAGUCCGCCGCGUUUAGCCACUUCGCUACCCCUCCAGCUUAUUCAUAUAAUUUAAUAAUCAAAAUGGUGGAGAAUGACGGGUUCGAACCGCCGACCCUCUGCUUGUAAGGCAGAUGCUCUCCCAGCUGAGCUAAUUCUCCAAAAUAAUGACUCCUACGGGACUCGAACCCGUGUUACCGCCGUGAAAGGGCGGUGUCUUAACCGCUUGACCAAGGAGCCAUGGCUCCACAGGUAGGACUCGAACCUACGACCGAUCGGUUAACAGCCGAUAGCUCUACCACUGAGCUACUGUGGAUUAAUAUUAUGCCUGGCAACGUUCUACUCUAGCGGAACGUAAGUUCGACUACCAUCGACGCUAAGGAGCUUAACUUCUGUGUUCGGCAUGGGAACAGGUGUGACCUCCUUGCUAUAGUCACCAGACAUAUGAAUGUAAAUUAUACAUUCAAAACUAGAUAGUAAGUAAAAGUGAUUUUGCUUCGCAAAACAUUUAUUUUGAUUAAGUCUUCGAUCGAUUAGUAUUCGUCAGCUCCACAUGUCACCAUGCUUCCACCUCGAACCUAUUAACCUCAUCAUCUUUGAGGGAUCUUAUAACCGAAGUUGGGAAAUCUCAUCUUGAGGGGGGCUUCAUGCUUAGAUGCUUUCAGCACUUAUCCCGUCCACCGAUUGACUAAGGUUUCCAGAGGAAGGCUCGUCCGCUCUGGGUUAGUCGGGUCCUAAGCUGAGGCCGACAGGCGUAGGCGAUGGAUAACAGGUUGAUAUUCCUGUACCACCUAUAAUCGUUUUAAUCGAUGGGGGGACGCAGUAGGAUAGGCGAAGCGUGCGAUUGGAUUGCACGUCUAAGCAGUAAGGCUGAGUAUUAGGCAAAUCCGGUACUCGUUAAGGCUGAGCUGUGAUGGGGAGAAGACAUUGUGUCUUCGAGUCGUUGAUUUCACACUGCCGAGAAAAGCCUCUAGAUAGAAAAUAGGUGCCCGUACCGCAAACCGACACAGGUAGUCAAGAUGAGAAUUCUAAGGUGAGCGAGCGAACUCUCGUUAAGGAACUCGGCAAAAUGACCCCGUAACUUCGGGAGAAGGGGUGCUCUUUAGGGUUAACGCCCAGAAGAGCCGCAGUGAAUAGGCCCAAGCGACUGUUUAUCAAAAACACAGGUCUCUGCUAAACCGUAAGGUGAUGUAUAGGGGCUGACGCCUGCCCGGUGCUGGAAGGUUAAGAGGAGUGGUUAGCUUCUGCGAAGCUACGAAUCGAAGCCCCAGUAAACGGCGGCCGUAACUAUAACGGUCCUAAGGUAGCGAAAUUCCUUGUCGGGUAAGUUCCGACCCGCACGAAAGGCGUAACGAUUUGGGCACUGUCUCAACGAGAGACUCGGUGAAAUCAUAGUACCUGUGAAGAUGCAGGUUACCCGCGACAGGACGGAAAGACCCCGUGGAGCUUUACUGUAGCCUGAUAUUGAAAUUCGGCACAGCUUGUACAGGAUAGGUAGGAGCCUUUGAAACGUGAGCGCUAGCUUACGUGGAGGCGCUGGUGGGAUACUACCCUAGCUGUGUUGGCUUUCUAACCCGCACCACUUAUCGUGGUGGGAGACAGUGUCAAGCGGGCAGUUUGACUGGGGCGGUCGCCUCCUAAAAGGUAACGGAGGCGCUCAAAGGUUCCCUCAGAAUGGUUGGAAAUCAUUCAUAGAGUGCAAAGGCAUAAGGGAGCUUGACUGCGAGACCUACAAGUCGAGCAGGGUCGAAAGACGGACUUAGUGAUCCGGUGGUUCCGCAUGGAAGGGCCAUCGCUCAACGGAUAAAAGCUACCCCGGGGAUAACAGGCUUAUCUCCCCCAAGAGUUCACAUCGACGGGGAGGUUUGGCACCUCGAUGUCGGCUCAUCGCAUCCUGGGGCUGUAGUCGGUCCCAAGGGUUGGGCUGUUCGCCCAUUAAAGCGGUACGCGAGCUGGGUUCAGAACCCAGCUCGCGUACCGCUUUAAUGGGCGAACAGCCCAACCCUUGGGACCGACUACAGCCCCAGGAUGCGAUGAGCCGCAUUGAGACCGCAAGGUCUCUUUUUUUUAUGUCUAAAACGUCAAAAUAAAAAGUAAACACAAAGAAAAAUGGCUUGG
rnacentral:rRNA from 1 species